CGUCGCGUCAGGGCUUGAGUUUUCGGCCUGCCGCGCCCAUAAUCACCGACAUGGUCGUAAUUCCGGCAAACCGGAUGCGUUCUGGACGCGGGUUCGAUUCCCGCCACCUCCACCACUGCGGGGGUGUACUGGUUUCGACAGGGCGAAAGAUGGCGAGCAGGCGACCCGAAAGGCGACGGACGUAAUCCGAGCAAAUCCAUAAACGCCAACGAUGAGCGUUUCGCACUGGCCGCUUAAGGCCUGCUGAGGACGUAGCCGUCCAAUAAACAGAAAGGCUAUCGGCGGGGGCUACGGCCCCCGCCGUCA
rnacentral:tmRNA from 1 species